rnacentral:rRNA from 1 species
GACGAACGCUGGCGGCGUGCUUAACACAUGCAAGUCGAACGGUAAGGCUCCAGCUUGCUGGGGUACACGAGUGGCGAACGGGUGAGUAACACGUGGGUGACCUGCCCUGCACUUCGGGAUAAGCCUGGGAAACUGGGUCUAAUACCGGAUAGGACCGCACCGUGAGGGUGUGGUGGAAAGUUUUUUCGGUGUGGGAUGGGCCCGCGGCCUAUCAGCUUGUUGGUGGGGUAAUGGCCUACCAAGGCGGCGACGGGUAGCCGGCCUGAGAGGGUGGACGGCCACAUUGGGACUGGGACACGGCCCAGACUCAUACGGGAGGCAGCAGUGGGGAAUAUUGCACAAUGGGCGGAAGCCUGAUGCAGCGACGCCGCGUGGGGGAUGACGGCCUUCGGGUUGUAAACUCCUUUCACCAUCGACGAAGGGUUUCUGACGGUAGAUGGAGAAGAAGCACCGGCUAACUACGU